CCUUACGGGUGGCUGCAGUGGGGAAUAUUGGACAAUGGGCGAAAGCCUGAUCCAGCCAUGCCGCGUGUGUGAAGAAGGCCUUCGGGUUGUAAAGCACUUUCAGUGGGGAAGAAAGCCUUGGGGCUAAUACCCUCGAGGAAGGACAUCACCCACAGAAGAAGCACCGGCUAACUCCGUGCCAGCAGCCGCGGUAAUACGGAGGGUGCGAGCGUUAAUCGGAAUUACUGGGCGUAAAGCGCGCGUAGGCGGUCUGAUAAGCCGGUUGUGAAAGCCCCGGGCUCAACCUGGGAACGGCAUCCGGAACUGUCAGGCUAGAGUGCAGGAGAGGAAGGUAGAAUUCCCGGUGUAGCGGUGAAAUGCGUAGAGAUCGGGAGGAAUACCAGUGGCGAAGGCGGCCUUCUGGACUGACACUGACGCUGAGGUGCGAAAGCGUGGGUAGCAAACAGGAUUAGAUACCCUGGUAGUC
rnacentral:rRNA from 1 species